rnacentral:rRNA from 1 species
GAUGAACGCUGGCGGCGUGCCUAAUACAUGCAAGUCGAGCGAACGGACGAGAAGCUUGCUUCUCUGAUGUUAGCGGCGGACGGGUGAGUAACACGUGGAUACCCUACCUAUAAGACUGGGAUAACUUCGGGAAACCGGAGCUCAUACCGGAUAAUAUUUUGAACCGCAUGGUUCAACAGUGAAAGACGGUCUUGCUGUCACUUAUAGAUGGAUCCGCGCUGCAUUAGCUAGUUGGUAAGGUAACGGCUUACCAAGGCAACGAUGCAUAGCCGACCUGAGAGGGUGAUCGGCCACACUGGAACUGAGACACGGUCCAGACUCCUACGGGAGGCAGCAGUAGGGAAUCUUCCGCAAUGGGCGAAAGCCUGACGGAGCAACGCCGCGUGAGUGAUGAAGGUCUUCGGAUCGUAAAACUCUGUUAUUAGGGAAGAACAUAUGUGUAAGUAACUGUGCACAUCUUGACGGUACCUAAUCAGAAAGCAACGGCUAACUACGUG